GGGAACUACUCUAGUGCCACUCAAUUCUGUCUCCUGGGCUUCCCAGGCUUUGAGGAACUGCCCCAUUUCCUUUUGGUUAACUUCUUCUUUCACUUGAUGAGAUUAAUGGGAAAUGCAGUCAUUUACAUGGUUGAAUUGAUGAAGUCUUCAGUCUCCCGGGGAUUUCUUCCUCAUCCCCUCAGCCUCUGGCCAAAAAAUAAUCCUUCUCCACUCAUGCCUCCCAUUUCACCUGUGUGGUGAUUGACUAUGACAGCUGCUUGUUUCUCUACGUGAAACCCAAG
rnacentral:lncRNA from 1 species